rnacentral:rRNA from 1 species
UAGGGAAUUUUCCGCAAUGGGCGAAAGCCUGACGGAGCAAUACCGCGUGAGGGAUGACGGCCUGUGGGUUGUAAACCUCUUUUCUCAAGGAAGAAGCUCUGACGGUACUUGAGGAAUAAGCAUCGGCUAACUCUGUGCCAGCAGCCGCGGUAAUACAGAGGAUGCAAGCGUUAUCCGGAAUCACUGGGCAUAAAGCGUCUGUAGGUGGUUUAGUAAGUCUGCUGUUAAAGACUGGGGCUCAACCCCAGAAAAGCAGUGGAAACUGCUAGACUUGAGUAUGGUAGAGGUAGAGGGAAUUCCUAGUGUAGCGGUGAAAUGCGUAGAUAUUAGGAAGAACACCAAUGGCGAAG